UAUUGCACAAUGGGGGGAACCCUGAUGCAGCGACGCCGCGUGAGGGAAGAAGGUUUUUGGGUUGUAAACCUCUGUCCUUGGUAAAGAAGCAAGACGGUAGCCAAGGAGGAAGCCACGGCUAACUACGUGCCAGCAGCCGCGGUAAUACGCAGGUGGCAAGCGUUGUCCGGAAUUACUGGGUGUAAAGGGCGCGUAGGCGGGAUAGUAAGUUGAUUGUUAAAACUAUCGGCUCAACUGAUAGAUGCGAUCAAAACUGCAAUUCUUGAGUGAAGUAGAGGCAGGCGGAAUUCCUAGUGUAGCGGUGAAAUGCGUAGAUAUUAGGAGGAACACCAGUGGCGAAGGCGGCCUGCUGGGCUUUAACUGACGCUGAGGCUCGAAAGUGUGGGUAGCAA
rnacentral:rRNA from 1 species